rnacentral:rRNA from 1 species
CUGGUCUGAGAGGAUGACCAGCCACACUGGAACUGACACACGGUCCACACUCCUACGGGAGGCAGCAGUGGGGAAUAUUGCACAGUGGGCGCAAGCCUGAUGCACCCAUGCCGCGUGUAUGAAGAAGGCCUUCGGGUUGUAAAGUACUUUCAGCGGGGAGGAAGGUGUUGUGGUUAAUAACCGCAGCAAUUGACGUUACCCGCAAAAGAAGCACCGGCUAACUCCGUGCCAGCAGCCGCGGUAAUACGGAGGGUGCAAGCGUUAAUCGGAAUUACUGGGCGUAAAGCGCACGCAGGCGGUCUGUCAAGUCGGAUGUGAAAUCCCCGGGCUCAACCUGGGAACUGCAUUCGAAACUGGCAGGCUAGAGUCUUGUAGAGGGGGGUAGAAUUCCAGGUGUAGCGGUGAAAUGCGUACAGAUCUGGAGGAAUACCGGUGGCGAAAGGCGGCCCCCUGGACAAAGACUGACGCUCAGGUGCGAAAGCGUGGGGAGCAAACAGGAUUACAUACCCUGGUAGUCCACGCCGUAAACGAUGUCGAUUUGGAGGUUGUGCCCUUGAGGCGUGGCUUCCGGAGCUAACGCGUUAAAUCUACCGCCUGGGGAGUACGGCCGCAAGGUUAAAACUCAAAUGAAUUGACGGGGGCCCGCACAAGCGGUGGAGCAUGUGGUUUAAUUCAAUGCAACGU